CCAGUGUUCCAGUGUAAUUCCCACACAAACCAAUCUCCAGCAAAAUUUCCAUGACUGUGUGGCUUGGUGUAAACAGCUCAGAGCAAGUGCUCUCUACACGUGUGCCCAUGCAAAUGUGCAGCCUUGUGGAGCGAGUCUUCUCACAUAGCUCCUUCCAGUACUGUGAGAACUAGUCCUCAUGGAGGAGACUUCCAGCUUGAAGUCUCAACCCCUCCAUCUCAGCAGCUGUUUCCUGGUCCAGCAGAUGUCAGCACACCACCUCUGUCCUCCAAGUCACCCCUGCCCUCUGGAAGACAGGUAUCACGACUGAGCCAGGGGCUGCUGAAACCCCUCUACAGAUGAAUCCUAUCUCUACUUCUUGGGCAUCGUAGCUGUAGCUGCCCUGGGUGUCCACGGUGAUGCUGGUGGAGCCUCCACAGACUGUUAUUUCAUGACUACAGGAUGGCUGUGGAACACUGUUAGUAUCUGAGCCCCCACGUGUGAGCUUAGGAGACAGCAUUUGUCUUUCUCUUCUGUGCUAGAUUUUACCAGAAGCUUUGUUUUGUUGUUGUUUUGAGAUAGAGUCUUACUGUCCAGCCCUGGCUGGACUAGAACUCACUGUAGACCAAGCUGGCUUCAAACUCAGAUUUGCCUACCUUUCCUUACUGACUUAAGGUGUA